ACAGGUCAGCUAACAAAGGAGCACAAUUCGUGCCCAUGGGAAUUCCAACAGACUGUUGGAAGACCUGAUCACCAAAGACCACGAAGAUAUUGUCAAUGAGGAACUCUAGCAUAUUUUUUAUUUCAACUUCAGAGUACUUGUGCGUGGAAUCAGAGUGAUGUUUAACAAAUUGAAUAAGAGAUUGGCAAUUACUCUAGGACAGUUUACCGUUAAAUAGCCCGAAUCCUCCAAAGCAGACAAAAGCGGAAGCACAAAAUGGAGACGCUUAGAGCUGAAGUUAGAACGGUGGUCUGCAAUACAUGCAUCACAGUCUAUUCUUGAAGGUUGCAGCUGACACAUACUGCAGCAAAAUUGGUUUUAAAGAUGAAAUUGAUCUGGAAGACAUUUCUUUAAAUCAACCAGAUUCCCUUCCAAGUGAUUGUAAUUCCUAUGCGGUAUUUG